AAUAGAUACCCAGGUAGUCCACGCCGUAAACGGUGGGUGCUAGGUGUGGGGAACUUUCCACGUUCUCCGUGCCGCAGCUAACGCAUUAAGCACCCCGCCUGGGGAGUACGGCCGCAAGGCUAAAACUCAAAGGAAUUGACGGGGGGCCCGCACAAGCGGCGGAGCAUGCGGUUUAAUUCGAUGCAACGCGAAGAACCUUACCAAGGCUUGACAUAUAGGGAAAUCCGGCAGAGAUGUCGGGUCCGCAAAGGUCCUAUACAGGUGGUGCAUGGCUGUCGUCAGCUCGUGUCGUGAGAUGUUGGGUUAAGUCCCGCAACGAGCGCAACCCUCGUUCUAUGUUGCCAGCGGAUAAUGCCGGGGACUCAUAGGAGACUGCCGGGGUCAACGUCGGAGGAAGGUGGGGACGACGUCGAAGUCAUCAUGCCCCUUAUGUCUUGGGCUACACGCAUGCUACAAUGGCCGGUACAAGGGCUGCGAUACCGUAAGGUGGAGCGAAUCCAUAAAGCCGGUCUCAGUUCGGAUCGGGGUCUGCACUCGACCCGU
rnacentral:rRNA from 1 species